rnacentral:rRNA from 1 species
UUUAUGGAGAGUUUGAUCCUGGCUCAGAGUGAACGCUGGCGGCGUGCCUAAUACAUGCAAGUCGAACGAUGAAGCUUCUAGCUUGCUAGAAGUGGAUUAGUGGCGCACGGGUGAGUAACGCAUAGGUCAUGUGCCUCUUAGUUUGGGAUAGCCAUUGGAAACGAUGAUUAAUACCAGAUACUCCCUACGGGGGAAAGAUUUAUCGCUAAGAGAUCAGCCUAUGUCCUAUCAGCUUGUUGGUAAGGUAAUGGCUUACCAAGGCUAUGACGGGUAUCCGGCCUGAGAGGGUGAACGGACACACUGGAACUGAGACACGGUCCAGACUCCUACGGGAGGCAGCAGUAGGGAAUAUUGCUCAAUGGGGGAAACCCUGAAGCAGCAACGCCGCGUGGAGGAUGAAGGUUUUAGGAUUGUAAACUCCUUUUGUUAGAGAAGAUAAUGACGGUAUCUAACGAAUAAGCACCGGCUAACUCCGUGCCAGCAGCCGCGGUAAUACGGAGGGUGCAAGCGUUACUCGGAAUCACUGGGCGUAAAGAGCGCGUAGGCGGGAUAGUCAGUCAGGUGUGAAAUCCUAUGGCUUAACCAUAGAACUGCAUUUGAAACUACUAUUCUAGAGUGUGGGAGAGGUAGGUGGAAUUCUUGGUGUAGGGGUAAAAUCCGUAGAGAUCAAGAGGAAUACUCAUUGCGAAGGCGACCUGCUGGAACAUUACUGACGCUGAUUGUGCGAAAGCGUGGGGAGCAAACAGGAUUAGAUACCCUGGUAGUCCACGCCCUAAACGAUGGAUGCUAGUUGUUGGAGGGCUUAGUCUCUCCAGUAAUGCAGCUAACGCAUUAAGCAUCCCGCCUGGGGAGUACGGUCGCAAGAUUAAAACUCAAAGGAAUAGACGGGGACCCGCACAAGCGGUGGAGCAUGUGGUUUAAUUCGAAGAUACACGAAGAACCUUACCUAGGCUUGACAUUGAGAGAAUCCGCUAGAAAUAGUGGAGUGUCUAGCUUGCUAGACCUUGAAAACAGGUGCUGCACGGCUGUCGUCAGCUCGUGUCGUGAGAUGUUGGGUUAAGUCCCGCAACGAGCGCAACCCCCUUUCUUAGUUGCUAACAGGUCAUGCUGAGAACUCUAAGGAUACUGCCUCCGUAAGGAGGAGGAAGGUGGGGACGACGUCAAGUCAUCAUGGCCCUUACGCCUAGGGCUACACACGUGCUACAAUGGGGUGCACAAAGAGAAGCAAUACUGCGAAGUGGAGCCAAUCUUCAAAACACCUCUCAGUUCGGAUUGUAGGCUGCAACUCGCCUGCAUGAAGCUGGAAUCGCUAGUAAUCGCAAAUCAGCCAUGUUGCGGUGAAUACGUUCCCGGGUCUUGUACUCACCGCCCGUCACACCAUGGGAGUUGUGUUUGCCUUAAGUCAGGAUGCUAAACUAGCUACUGCCCACGGCACACACAGCGACUGGGGUGAAGUCGUAACAAGGUAACCGUAGGUGAACCUGCGGUUGGAUCACCUCCUUU